rnacentral:rRNA from 14 species
GCGCACGGGUGCGUAACGCGUAUAGAACCUACCUUUUACUGAGGGAUAGCCUUUAGAAAUGAAGAUUAAUACCUCAUAGUAUUUUGAAUUGGCAUCGAUUUAGAAUUAAAGAUUUAUUGGUAAAAGAUGGCUAUGCGUCUUAUUAGCUAGAUGGUAAGGUAACGGCUUACCAUGGCAACGAUAAGUAGGGGCCCUGAGAGGGGGAUC